rnacentral:rRNA from 1 species
UACGUAGGGCAGCAAGCGUUGUUCGGAGUUACUGGGCGUAAAGGGUGCGUAGGCGGCCGCAAAAGUAUGGUGUGAAAUCUCCCGGCUUAACUGGGAGGGUGCGCUAUAAACUGCGUGGCUAGAGUGUGGGAGAGGAAAGUGGAAUUCCUGGUGUAGCGGUGAAAUGCGUAGAUAUCAGGAGGAACACCGGUGGUGUAAACGGCUUUCUGGACCAUAACUGACGCUGAGGCACGAAAGCGUGGGGAGCAAACAGG